UCGGCAACGGAUAUCUCGGCUCACGCAUCGAUGAAGAACGUAGCAAAAUGCGAUACUUGGUGUGAAUUGCAGAAUCCCGUGAACCAUCGAGUUUUUGAACGCAAGUUGCGCCCGAAGCCUUUUGGUCGAGGGCACGUCUGCCUGGGCGUCACAU
rnacentral:rRNA from 1 species